rnacentral:tRNA from 1 species
CCGGCUUUAACUCAGCCUGGUAGAGUGGUCGACUGUAGAUCGACAUGUCCCCUGUUCAAAUCGGGGAAGCCGGA